rnacentral:rRNA from 1 species
UACGGAGGGUGCGAGCGUUGUCCGGAAUCACUGGGCGUAAAGGGCGCGUAGGCGGCUCAUGAAGGCUGUGGUGAAAGUCCGGGGCUCAACCUCGGAUCGGCCGUGGCGACUCGUGGGCUGGAGCACUGUAGAGGCGGGUGGAAUUCCGGGUGUAGCGGUGGAAUGCGUAGAGAUCCGGAAGAACACCAGUGGCGAAAGCGGCUCACUGGACCAUAACUGACGCUGAUGCACGAAAGCUAGGGGAGCAAACAGG